GAUGAACGCUGGCGGCGUGCCUAAUACAUGCAAGUCGAGCGAACAGACGAGGAGCGUGCUCCUCUGACGUUAGCGGCGGACGGGUGAGUAACACGUGGAUAACCUACCUAUAAGACUGGGAUAACUUCGGGAAACCGGAGCUAAUACCGGAUAAUAUAUUGAACCGCAUGGUUCAAUAGUGAAAGACGGUUUUGCUGUCACUUAUAGAUGGAUCCGCGCCGCAUUAGCUAGUUGGUAAGGUAACGGCUUACCAAGGCAACGAUGCGUAGCCGACCUGAGAGGGUGAUCGGCCACACUGGAACUGAGACACGGUCCAGACUCCUACGGGAGGCAGCAGUAGGGAAUCUUCCGCAAUGGGCGAAAGCCUGACGGAGCAACGCCGCGUGAGUGAUGAAGGUCUUCGGAUCGUAAAACUCUGUUAUUAGGGAAGAACAAAUGUGUAAGUAACUAUGCACGUCUUGACGGUACCUAAUCAGAAAGCCACGGCUAACUACGUG
rnacentral:rRNA from 1 species